GUUUGUUGAAACCAUAGCCAAAGACGCCUAUGUGUAUGCUCAGCAAGGAAAGAGGAAAACCCUGCAGAGAAAAGACCUGGACAAUGCCAUUGAAGCUAUUGAUGAAUUCGCUUUUUUGGAAGGAACUCUGGACUGAGCUGAACAGAGACGGAGACAGAGACCGAAGAGAUGGACGUGGGCUGGAAAAUAGGAUGUUGAGAGUUCGAAAAUAGUUCCUAGAAUCGUCACCCUGAAAUGGCAACCGUAAUAUUUUGUAUAAAGUUCAAGUUGUUGUAAGUUCGUUAUUUAAAAUGCAUAUUUUUCCAUGAGGUUCUGUACGUUGGCGGCGCAGGCCGCUCUCCGGCGUGGCG
rnacentral:lncRNA from 1 species